AGAUAUGCAGAGACGGAGAGCGAAUACUCGAAUCCACCUUUUCUGCUUCAACACCCCAAACACACACACACACACACACACACACACACACACACACACACACACACACACUUCCACCGACUUCCACCCAGAUUCGUACUGAUGCCUUUGAGAGGGCUUUAAAAAGUCGACCGAGAUACACAGAUGUUUCUUCCUCACACCCACUCCUUAACUCGAGGGCAUCGAGGUGAAAAAAUAAAACGGGGCGCUAUUAUUAGCUGGAUGCCGGACCAGAGCUGAUGAACAGCGCUGAAAUGAAACUUCUCGUCCAACAUGAUUCAGAUCCUGCCUUCACUUGUAGUCGGACUGUUUUUUUUUCCUUCCCUUCCAGAGCCUAAACUUCGACUUCAAUGGAAAAAUUCCCACUUUGGUUUUGGGUGGAAACCUGCAUUUGACGGUCUAGUUUUUUUUUUUCUCUCGCUCACGUAAUUGCUUGCGUAUCAGCACUAAUUGGAGCUGGGCAGUUAGAGGAACGUACUGGGUCAGCCCGCGAUGGAAUGGAGCGUGUGGGUUGCGGGAGCUGAGAAGACCUCCUUUUGCCCGGUUGACGAGUUCUGGAGACCUUAUUUCGCCUCAGCUCCACUUCUAGACCUUUAUGUACAACGAGAGAGAUUUGUUCGCUCUGAUUCGGCUGAGCUCCUUCAGCAUAUUUAGCAUCGGGUCAGCUUCUCCGGAUCCGGUUUGAUCCGUUCCCGGUUUAAAAUGCGGCGCUUUGCCAAGCUGAAAAAAACCUUCCCGUUUCUUGCACACUUCCAUGUGUACAAAAAGCUGGCCAGCAGUAGCAGUAUGCAGAGUGAGGAAGGCACUGAGUGGCUGUUGGAGCUGCUGAUGGAGGUGCAGCUGCAGCAGUAUUUCCUGCGUAUCCGUGACGACCUGAACGUCACGCGUCUCUCCCACUUCGACUACGUCAAGAACGAAGACCUUGAGAAGAUUGGCAUGGGCCGGCCUGGACAGAGACGGCUGUGGGAGGCGGUGAAGAGGAGAAAAACCAUGUGCAAGCGCAAGUCUUGGAUGAGUAAGGUGUUCAGUGGAAAGAAGCCAGAUGGAGAUUUCCAGCCGCAGGCCACCAGCACUUUCCGCAAGCUUUCGAGCACUCCUCCUCCUGCAGACGGCCAGCAGCAGGCGCUCACCUGCUUGAUCAGCGAGAAGGAGCUGGUGUUGUGCGAGAAGCUUGGAGACGGCUCGUUCGGCGUGGUGAAGCGUGGAGAGUGGGUCACGCCGCCAGGAAAAGUGUUGAAUGUGGCAGUAAAGUGUCUGAAGACAGACGUCCUGAACCAGCCGGAUGCUCUGGACGACUUCAUCCGCGAAGUCAACGCCAUGCAUUCGCUCGACCACCAGAACCUCAUCCGUCUCUAUGGAGUCGUCCUCACACACCCCAUGAAAAUGGUGACCGAGCUAGCUCCUCUCGGCUCUUUGCUGGACCGCUUGCGGAAAACACAGGGCCACUUCCUCAUCUCCACACUAUGCCAGUACGCCAUCCAGAUCGCCAACGGUAUGGCCUACCUUGAGACCAGGCGCUUUAUCCACCGCGACCUCGCCGCCCGCAACAUCCUGCUGGCCUCCAAUGAGCUUGUCAAGAUCGGAGACUUCGGCCUGAUGAGGGCGCUGCCCAACAACGAUGACCAUUACGUCAUGCAGGAGCACCGCAAGGUGCCUUUCGCCUGGUGUGCCCCAGAGAGCCUGAAGACACGUACUUUUUCUCAUGCCACGGACACGUGGAUGUUUGGGGUGACCCUGUGGGAGAUGUGUACCUACGGCCAGGAGCCGUGGCUCGGUCUCAAUGGCAGUCAGAUCCUUCACAAGAUCGACAAGGAGGGUGAACGGUUGCCCAAGCCUGAGGACUGCCCCCAGGACAUCUAUAACGUCAUGCUGCAGUGCUGGGCGCUGAAACCCGAUGACAGGCCCACUUUUAUGGCUCUCCGCGAGUUCCUGGUGGAGACCAUGCCGACCGACAUGAGGGCGCUGCAGGACUUCGAUGAGCCCGACAAGCUGCACAUCCAGAUCAACGAUGUCAUCACCAUCAUCGAGGGCAGGGCAGAGAAUUACUGGUGGCGAGGGCAGAACAAGCGCACGCUGAAGGUGGGACAGUUUCCCAGGAAUGUCGUGACCUCAGUAGCUGGAUUGUCAGCUCACGAUAUCAGCCGGCCGCUGAAGAACAGCUUCAUCCACACGGGUCAUGGAGACACCAACCCUCACCGCUGCUGGGGCUUUCCGGAUCGGAUAGACGAUCUGUAUCUGGGGAAUCCCAUGGACCCUCCAGAUGUCCUUGGGCUGGAUCUAAACGCUCCCAGGCCCACGCAGCUUCCUGGGCGAGUCAAAAAGCCAAACUACGACUCGGUUACGGACGAUGAAGAUCUGACGUCCUCCAGCCUGAGAUGCCUCUCGUUAAAAAAAAACAACACAAAGUGUUUGAAACUGAAGCCGUCCGCUUGGGUUUCAGCCACUAAAAUAAGUGAUCGGUCUAUUUACGGCCCCCGAACUCCAGGAGGUGGAACUCCCACUGAGGUCUCUCUUAUAGACUUUGGAGAGGAAAUGUUCUCAUCUACCCCGUCUCCUGUUUUAGAAUCCCAGGUGCCCAGUCUCGCAAGGCUGGCCCUGGAGGCGGAGAAUAUCUUAGACUGUACCCCACCACAGAGUCCGUCCCGGUCUCUGCCUCGUCCGCUCCACCCCACCCCGGUGGUUGACUGGGAUUUAAGACCCCUUCCUCCUCCUCCAGCGUACGAUGAUGUGGCGCAGGAUGAAGACGACAUUGAGGUGAGCUCGAUUAACAGCACGGACAUAAGAGUUCCUGAUGACCCCGGCUCCCCGUGCUCCCCCUGCACCCCUGCGUACGAGGAUAAGCUCCGAGUAGAGGAUGAUCUCUUCCUGCCCAGUAGGCAGAGCCGGUCUCGCACCUUCUCGCAGUCGGCCGAGAUCUUCCAGGAGCUCCAGCAGGAGUGCAUGAGGCGCCUGAACGUCCCUGUAGGCUCCGUAAGUCCUGAUCCUUACCGCCAGAUCUUUCUGUCCACCUGCGAUGACAAGCCACAGGUCCCACCUCGAGUCCCGAUCCCACCGCGACCCCCAAAAAGCACGGGAAGCGACUGUACCCGCUGGUCACGUGAUCUAUCUCCAGCCUUGUGCGGCGAGAUCGAGAAGGAGUGUCCGCCACAGAUCCCGCCAAGAGAUCCACUGUCUCAGCCUUGCUCUCGGACUCCCAGCCCCAUGAACCGUACCACACACUACCUCUCCACCUCACCGGGCAAACUGAUGCCCACCACACAGAGCUUUGCCUCGGACCCCAAAUACGCCGCACCCAAAGUCAUCCAGGCCCAGGGCAAGGACAAGGAAGCUGCCAAAGGACCCUGCAUUCUGCCCAUCGUCCGAGAUGGCAAGAAAGUGAGCAACACGCACUACUACCUGCUGCCCGAGAGGCCGACGUACCUAGACCGGUAUGACAAGUUCUUCAGGGAGGCUGAAGAAGAUGGGAGGAGGCCAGUCAACACGGCUACAGUCCGACCAAUGGUGCAACAGCAGGGGGACGUGAAAUCAAACUUCUCCUGCAAUAAUAACAGCAGCCUUUUAGCACGAGCAGGCAUUAGGAACUCCCUGAGCCUGACCAAAGUGAGCGCUGAAGGGGCAGGCAGCAGGGCGGAAGGAGCAGCUAAUCCUGACAGAGUGAAACUGGCUUCAGGUGCAGGAGGCGGUGCACGGCGUGACGAUCGAGGAGUGCCACACGGCGCUGCAGAACCACAGCUGGAACGUCCAGAAAGCCGUGCACUAUCUGAAGGUAGAGACGCUUUUCUGUCUGGGUCUGAAGUCCAGGCUGGAGUGUCACAAGAUCCUGGAGAUGUGUGACUGGAACCUGGAGCUGGCCAGCACUCAGCUGCUAGACUCUUACGGCUCGGUAAAACAGAGGCGAUGAGGAACCUCCAGAGAUGGAUCAUGUCUUUAUUUCCUCUUCCUCAUCACUGACUGAACUGAAGGGCGUCUAGAAAACACUGGGAAUGAGACGAGGGUCUUCCCUAAUCCCAGAUCUUGAGUUCCCUCUCCUCUCUGAUAUGCCGAGGGACUCGCGUUGUGCUCGUGUGUAUCCUCAGAACCGAACGUCUUCCUCCAGAACUUUCUACUCAAGGUGCACUACUGAGUUUAGAGGUCAAACGUGACGGCCGCGAUUUUUAUUUUAUAUAUAUAUAUAUAUAU